AAUUGAUCUUCGAAUGGCCCAAAAUAUCUUCGAUUCUUUUCAUUAACACCCCAGUUCCAAUCAAAAUUCGAAGAACCAUGAAUAUUGAUUCCCUGAACCGAUCCCCAAAUUUGUUCCAAAUGCAUGCCAACGAUCGGCCUUAAUUCCCAGAUUUUUAGCCCUCUUUACUCCAAAUCACCGCCUCAACAACCCCUGAAGGUUAACCUAUAAAUACCCUUCCAUCCCUGCAGACUUAUACGGUGAGACAUGAAGAGACAGACAGAGGGCGGAGGAAAAUUCUAAGGAGAGAAAACAAGAAAGAGUAGAAAAGAAGCAAAAAAAGGAGGUGUUAUCAAAAGGCAGGAGGAUUAGCAAGACCUUCAAGGCAGAUACAUAGUGUGUCCUAUAAUUCUAAUGCGCACAAGUGUCUCAUCAACGAACAAGGAUUGUUAACUCUACAAACCAGCGCCAGUGUGUGUAAUCUUCUUUCAAUGAAGUUUCGAGGCAAUUUUACAGAACGGAUUGUUCUCAUUAUGUAGUCCAACAUGCAUUGGCGUAUCCAAAAGAACCAGAAAAAAUCUAUCUACUCGCCCACAUAUUUGUAAUAAGAAAGGUAAGUAAUGUUAUACAGCAGCCUCCAGGGAGCUUUAAGGUUGAAAUUCCCCAGGAUCCAGGAGCAACAUUCAGGUGAAAAUUUCAGGUAGAGGAAACUAAAAUAAAGGAUGAGUUAGAAAACGAGUAUACAAACAAAUGGGCUGUAGGUCUAAUUGAGCCCAAGAAACGGCAGAUGGUAAUUUUCUGACAGAAUCUGGACAUUGGUUUAAGCCCAGAAACCCACGAUUUCAAGCCUUCCCAGUUUCAAGAGGUUCAAGCAUGUCAUCAUUGACAGAGCCAGCCAUGUUUCAUCUGCAGCCGCUUUAACUUGAUCCCACUUUAAAUACUUUGAUGAAGACGGAAUAAACCAUUGAAUUACGCUAGUUCAACUCAAGAAUUACAUCAACAACAGUUAAGCAAUACCCAUCCGUUGAUCUUAAGAAAAGAUAAACCCAAUAAAAAAAUUAAGGGUCUACAGAAGUCAUCAUCGUUGGUUUUUUUAGUCAUGAGAGCAUAAUCCAGUCGAUAACGUGUUGCUGCAACUCGAAAUCUUGUUUUUGAAACCCUGCAAUUCAGUACUAUCUAAGAACAUAAGCAAGAAAGAAAACACUGUGAGGGGAAAUGUACUGUGAUGCUGAAAGAAAACAGAUUUGUGAACAGAAAAACACUCCAGCUAUGGAUUUUUCUUUUUUGUUUUCUGUGCA